rnacentral:rRNA from 1 species
ACGUAGGGUGCGAGCGUUAAUCGGAAUUACUGGGCGUAAAGCGAGCGCAGACGGUUAUAUAAGCCAGAUGUGAAAUCCCCGAGCUCAACUUGGGACGUGCAUUUGGAACUGUAUAGCUAGAGUGUGUCAGAGGGAGGUAGAACUCCACGUGUAGCAGUGAAAUGCGUAGAGAUGUGGAAGAAUACCGAUGGCGAAGGCAGCCUCCUGGGAUAACACUGACGUUCAAGCUCGAAAGCGUGGGUAGCAAACAGG